rnacentral:rRNA from 1 species
UACGAAGGGGGCUAGCGUUGUUCGGAUUUACUGGGCGUAAAGCGCACGUAGGCGGUUUGUUAAGUCAGGGGUGAAAUCCUGGAGCUCAACUCCAGAACUGCCUUUGAUACUGGCAAGCUAGAGUCCGGAAGAGGUAAGUGGAACUCCUAGUGUAGAGGUGGAAUUCGUAGAUAUUAGGAAGAACACCAGUGGCGAAGGCGGCUUACUGGGCCGGAACUGACGCUGAGGUGCGAAAGCGUGGGGAGCAAACAGG